rnacentral:misc_RNA from 1 species
GAUGAAGAACGCAGCGAAAUGCGAUAAGUAAUGUGAAUUGCAGAAUUCAGUGAAUCAUCGAAUCUUUGAACGCACAUUGCGCCCGCCAGUAUUCUGGCGGGCAUGCCUGUUCGAGCGUCAUUUCAACCCUCAAGCCCCCGGGCUUGGUGUUGGGGAUCGGCGUGCCCUCGCGGCGCGCCGUCCCCUAAAUCUAGUGGCGGUCUCGCUGUAGCUUCCUCUGCGUAGUAGCAACACUCGCACUGGAUCGCAGCGCGACCACGCCGUUAAACCCCCCACUUCUGAAAGUUUGACCUCGGAUCAGGUAGGAAUACCCGCUGAACUUAAGCAUAUCAAUAAGCGGAGGA